AGAAUUCUAGUUAAAUAUAAUAUAUGCUUGUCACGCAUAAGUUGCUGUCUCAGCGAAUUCUA
rnacentral:tRNA from 1 species